rnacentral:lncRNA from 1 species
ACCCGCCAUCAUGCCUGGCUAAUUUUUGUAUUUUUGGUAGAGAUGGGGUUUCACCAUGUUGGCCAGGCUGGUCUCGAACUCCUGACCUCAGGUGAUCCACCCACCUCGGCCUCCCAAAGUGCUGGGAUUACAGGUGUGAGCCACUGCGCCAGGCCAAGAUUACAUUGCUAUAGAAGUUUUGACAUUUCAAAACUCCUUUGGAGCUGAGAACCACUAUUGACCCUUGUGGCCGCCCUGGGAGGGAGGGUGUACAGGCAUUGCUAUUUCUGUUUUCCAAAGAGAGAAACAAAAGUCAAGAAAUGUUAUAUAUGUUUUCCAAGGUAAUAGGUAGUGGCAGAGCUGUUACUAUAAUUUAGGACUCCUGGCUUGGCGCAUGCAUUGAACCAUACUGCUUUCCUGUAUUCAAUGUGUCUUA